AUAUGAGGCCUCGUAAUCGGAAUGAGUACACUUUAAAUACUUUAACGAGGAACAAUUGGAGGGCAAGUCUGGUGCCAGCAGCCGCGGUAAUUCCAGCUCCAAUAGCGUAUACUAAAAUUGUUGCGGUUAAAAAGCUCGUAGUUGCACCUGUGCGCCGCGCUGUCGGUGCACCGCAUCCGCGGUGACCACUGGCACGUCGCGGGGCAUCGCGUCGGUGAGACUCCGGUAAAACGGAGGCUCAAUUGAAACAAUCCUAUCGCGGUGCUCUUAACCGAGUGUCGAGGUGGGCCGACAAUACUUACUUUGAACAAAUUAGAGUGCUCAAAGCGGGCUAAAAACGCCGCUCGAAUAUUUUUUGCAUGGAAUAAUGGAAUACGACCUCGGUUCUAUUUUGUUGGUUCUCGGAAUCCGAGGUAAUGAUUAAUAGGAACAACUGGGGGCAUUCGUAUUGCGACGUUAGAGGUGAAAUUCUUGGAUCGUCGCAAGACGGACUACAGCGAAAGCAUUUGCCAAAGGUGUUUUCAUCAAUCAAGAACGAAAGUUAGAGGUUCGAAGGCGAUUAGAUACCGCCCUAGUUCUAACCAUAAACGUUGCCACCUGGCGAUCCGCCGACGUUACUAUAAUGGCUCGGCGGGCGGCCUCCGGGAAACCAAAGUUUUUGGGCUCCGGGGGGAGUAUGGUUGCAAAGCUGAAACUUAAAGGAA
rnacentral:rRNA from 3 species